GUGUCUUUAACUUUCAGAUCACGAAGAUGAUGGAGAAACUGUCAGUGCUGGUCUCAGGGAUAGCACAGCUUUUUUGAGCUUUUCUUGUGAAGACUGUGUCUACUGUUGGGGAGGAUGCUAUUUCAUGCCCAUGUGAAGACUUUGCAGGACCAGAAGACAACCAGAAAUUGGCCCAAUGCAUGCUGUAACUGAUUGAAGGUGUUUCCAGGAUUCCGUAAAGGGUAAGUUCACCCAAAA